ACCGGAGUGGACGCAUCACUGGUGUUCGGGUUGUCAUGCCAAUGGCACUGCCCGGUAGCUAAAUGCGGAAGAGAUAAGUGCUGAAAGCAUCUAAGCACGAAACUUGCCCCGAGAUGAGUUCUCCCUGACUCCUUGAGAGUCCUGAAGGAACGUUGAAGACGACGACGUUGAUAGGCCGGGUGUGUAAGCGCAGCGAUGCGUUGAGCUAACCGGUACUAAUGAACCGU
rnacentral:rRNA from 1 species